ACCAGACAGGUAACACACCAGACAGGUAUCACACCAGACAGGUAACACACCAGACAGGUAACACACCAGACAGGUAACACACCAGACAGGUAACACACUACACAGGUAACACACCAGACAGGUAACACACCAGACAGGUAACACACCAGACAGGUAACACACCAGACAGGUAACACACUACACAGGUAACACACCAGACAGGUAACACACCAGACAGGUAACACACCAGACAGGUAACACACCAGACAGGUAACACACUACACAGGUAACACACCAGACAGGUAACACACCAGACAGGUAACACACCAGACAGGUAACACACCAGACAGGUAACACUC